rnacentral:sRNA from 1 species
GCAUAGCCCCGAUGGGAACGGCAUCCUUUUUUGUUAUUGCGAUUGUUGAUAAGUUCUACAGAUUGCUUCACUUUGUUCGCAAUGACAAGAAAGAUAUAGUGGACAGCGGGUUGGGAU